UGGGGAAUAUUGCACAAUGGGCGCAAGCCUGAUGCAGCGACGCCGCGUGAGGGAUGGAGGCCUUCGGGUUGUGAACCUCUUUCGCCAGUGAAGCAGGCCUGCUCCUUGUGGGUGGGUUGACGGUAGCUGGAUAAGAAGCGCCGGCUAACUACGUGCCAGCAGCCGCGGUAAUACGUAGGGCGCGAGCGUUGUCCGGAAUUAUUGGGCGUAAAGAGCUCGUAGGCGGCUGGUCGCGUCUGUCGUGAAAUCCUCUGGCUUAACUGGGGGCUUGCGGUGGGUACGGGCCGGCUUGAGUGCGGUAGGGGAGACUGGAACUCCUGGUGUAGCGGUGGAAUGCGCAGAUAUCAGGAAGAACACCGGUGGCGAAGGCGGGUCUCUGGGCCGUUACUGACGCUGAGGAGCGAAAGCGUGGGGAGCGAACA
rnacentral:rRNA from 1 species